rnacentral:lncRNA from 1 species
GCUUCUCUUCCUCCGCCGGAGCAUCCGCCGUCACCGGUGCUUCCUCCUCUGCAACUGGCUCUGCUGGUUUUUCGUCUGUUCCUUUUUCUUCUGGUUCUGCCUCGGGCUUGGCUUCUUCUUCAACGACUUCUUUGGUUUCCGGUUCGGGUUCGGGUUCGGGGACAGAUUCGGGUUCUAGGGCCGCGGCGGCUGGUUCUUCCGGCUCGCUAGCUGGAGCUUCCUCCGCUGGUGCUUCUGGCUCUUGAACGGCUUCUACCUCAGCUGGCGCCGCAGCCACUGGCUCUUCUGGUGUGGUUUUCUCUUCAGCCACUGGCUUGGUUGCCGGUGGCGCCUCGCUCUCUGGUAAUGUUGUGGGAGCUGAUUCAACCU